rnacentral:rRNA from 6 species
GUCUGCGUGGAGCCGACCUUGAAAUACCACCCUUUAAUGUUUGAUGUUCUAACGUGGACCCGUGAUCCGGGUUGCGGACAGUGUCUGGUGGGUAGUUUGACUGGGGCGGUCUCCUCCUAAAGAGUAACGGAGGAGCACGAAGGUUGGCUAAUCCUGGUCGGACAUCAGGAGGUUAGUGCAAUGGCAUAAGCCAGCUUGACUGCGAGCGUGACGGCGCGAGCAGGUGCGAAAGCAGGUCAUAGUGAUCCGGUGGUUCUGAAUGGAAGGGCCAUCGCUCAACGGAUAAAAGGUACUCCGGGGAUAACAGGCUGAUACCGCCCAAGAGUUCAUAUCGACGGCGGUGUUUGGCACCUCGAUGUCGGCUCAUCACAUCCUGGGGCUGAAGUAGGUCCCAAGGGUAUGGCUGUUCGCCAUUUAAAGUGGUACGCGAGCUGGGUUUAGAACGUCGUGAGACAGUUCGGUCCCUAUCUGCCGUGGGCGCUGGAGAACUGAGGGGGGCUGCUCCUAGUACGAGAGGACCGGAGUGGACGCAUCACUGGUGUUCGGGUUGUCAUGCCAAUGGCACUGCCCGGUAGCUAAAUGCGGAAGAGAUAAGUGCUGAAAGCAUCUAAGCACGAAACUUGCCCCGA